AGAACGAACGCUGGCGGCAUGCCUAACACAUGCAAGUCGAACGAGACCUUCGGGUCUAGUGGCGCACGGGUGCGUAACGCGUGGGAACCUGCCCCUUGGUUCGGAAUAACACAGAGAAAUUUGUGCUAAUACCGGAUGAUGACUUCGGUCCAAAGAUUUAUCGCCGAGGGAUGGGCCCGCGUAGGAUUAGCUAGUUGGUGGGGUAAUGGCCUACCAAGGCGACGAUCCUUAGCUGGUCUGAGAGGAUGAUCAGCCACACUGGGACUGAGACACGGCCCAGACUCCUACGGGAGGCAGCAGUGGGGAAUAUUGGACAAUGGGCGAAAGCCUGAUCCAGCAAUGCCGCGUGAGUGAUGAAGGCCUUAGGGUUGUAAAGCUCUUUACCGGGAUGAUAAUGACAGUACCGGGAGAAUAAGCUCCGGCUAACUCCGCGCCAGCAGCCGC
rnacentral:rRNA from 1 species